rnacentral:rRNA from 1 species
CGCGAGUUGUUGGGUUGCCCGAGUAGCAGCGGGCUCGUGGAAUCUGCUGUGAAUCUGCCGGGACCACCCGGUAAGCCUAAAUACUCAGUGUGACCGAUAGUGUAUUAGUACCGUGAGGGAAUGGUGAAAAGUACCCCGGGAGGGGAGUGAAAUAGUUCCUGAAACCAUGUGCUUACAAUCCGUCAGAGCACCUUUUGUGUGUGUGAUGGCGUGCCUUUUGAAGAAUGAGCCUGCGAGUCAGCGGCAUGUCGCGAGGUUAACCCGUGUGGGGUAGCCGUAGGGAAACCGAAUCCUAAUGGGGUGUUGUUAGUGGCAUGUCCUGGACCCGAAGCGGGGUGAUCUACCCAUGGCCAGUGUGAAGCAGUAGUAAGAUGCUGUGGAGGCGCGAACCCACGUAGGUUGAAAACUGCGGGGAUGAGUUGUGGGUAGGGGUGAAAGGCCAAUCAAACUCCGUGAUAGCUGGUUCUCCCCGAAAUGCAUUUAGGUGCAGCGUCGCAUUAGCUUGGUGGAGGUAGAGCUACUGGUUGGUUGAGCGGGACUACAAUCUUAGCAAUGUCAGCCAAACUCCGAAUGCCAUCAAUUGUGUUGUGCGGCAGUGAGACUGUGGGGGAUAAGCUUCAUAGUCGAGAGGGAAACAGCCCAGAUCGCCGGUUAAGGCCCCUAAGGGUGUGCUAAGUGGAAAAGGAUGUGGGAUCGCGAAGACAGCCAGGAGGUUGGCUUAGAAGCAGCCAUCCUUGAAAGAGUGCGUAAUAGCUCACUGGUCGAGUGGUCCUGCGCCGACAAUGUAGUGGGGCUCAAGCACACCGCCGAAGCCGCGGCAA